rnacentral:rRNA from 1 species
AUUGAACGCUGGCGGCAUGCUUUACACAUGCAAGUCGAACGGCAGCACGGGGGCAACCCUGGUGGCGAGUGGCGAACGGGUGAGUAAUGCAUCGGAACGUGCCCUGUCGUGGGGGAUAACACAUCGAAAGAUGUGCUAAUACCGCAUACGACCUGAGGGUGAAAGCGGGGGACCGUAAGGCCUCGCGCGAUAGCAGCGGCCGAUGUCUGAUUAGCUAGUUGGUGGGGUAAAGGCCUACCAAGGCGACGAUCAGUAGUUGGUCUGAGAGGACGACCAGCCACACUGGGACUGAGACACGGCCCAGACUCCUACGGGAGGCAGCAGUGGGGAAUUUUGGACAAUGGGGGCAACCCUGAUCCAGCCAUGCCGCGUGCGGGAAGAAGGCCUUCGGGUUGUAAACCGCUUUUGGCAGGAACGAAACGGUGCGGGCGAAUACCCUGUGCUAAUGACGGUACCUGCAGAAUAAGCACCGGCUAACUACGUGCCAGCCGCCGCCGUAACAC